ACUAUUGCGAUGGGUUGACCCACUUGUCCAUCCCCCAGCUAUCUGAGUCAGAGUGGGAUUCCACUUCUUCGCCCUCCCUCUCCGCUGCUUCUCCUCCUCCUCCUCUACCUCUCGAGAAAUUGGAAGUAUACAGCUGCCCCGAUCUCCUUUCCAAUUGAUUUAACCCGAACACCUUCUCUCUCUACCCUGGACAUAGCACGUUGUCCCAAAUUAACGGACUUGCCCCAGGAGAAGCUUUGUUCUCUUACAAGCUUGAGAACCUUAUCGAUUGGACCAUUCUCAAAAACCACAGAGUUGCAUUCCUUCCUAUACCUCUCUGAUGCUCUCCCACCACCGCACCCCUACUUCCCCUCCCUUUCAGAAUUAAAUCUGCACGGACGGUCUCAUUGGGAAUCUCUGCCCGAGCAACUUCAGCGCCUCUCUGCCCUAACAACUCUUUAUUUAAAUGGUUUUGGAGUGAAAUCAUUGCCCGAUUGGUUUGGGAAGCUUUCGUCACUUGAACAACUUUGGCUCUGGAAUUGUGAAAAGCUAGAGAAUUUACCCUCUCACCAAUCUAUGAGAAGCCUCACCAGACUAAGAAGGCUGCAGAUUCGCUGGUGUCCCCUUCUAGGGGAAAGAUGUAAACCAGAGAGCAGCAGUAGCAGCACCACCGAAUCCAAUUCUGAGUGGUCGAAGAUCUGCCACAUUCCCGAAAUUGAAAUUGAUGACUAGCAAAUUAGAAGCUAAUCCCCAUUUGAAGCUCAUGAAUAACGUCAGUUUCCCCAAUUAAAGCUACUAGCCUAACUUCUACUCAAUAAUUGAUGCGAACUAUUUUUCCUUCGUCCUGUGCGUUUCUGCUUUCUAGAUAAAUACCUACACAUUCUUGGACUUGCAAAAAGGAGGGGCUGUUUUCUUGGCAAGGGCUUGUUUACGUCAAAUGGAUCCAGCAUGGCUCUCUCAAAGGGAACUCAUUCUCCUUCCUUAUAUGGAGAAGGCAAUACUACAUCUAGUUUGAGAGUCUAGAAUGAACCAUUGGUAAAACCCAUGGUAUAAUAUUGAAGGCUAAGGGUGUAAUAGAUUUUCUUGGGGGCUUGGAGCUCUCCAGGAUGCUGCAACAAAGAUUAUUCUGCUUGGCUACUGGGAUUCUCAUACAUGAGUUGUUUGAGAGCUGGAAAUCUGAAGAAUGGUCGGAAAACAUGUUCUCAAAUUUUUUUUGUGUAUGAAAAGCUAAGAGCACAAGCUGUUCUCUAAAUCUAGUGAUGGGGCAGCUAAUUCAGGACUAUUAGAUGGCUGAUGGAAAACAUGCCAUGGUAUUGGACUAUGAAGAUUGUCAAAUUUUUUGCAUAGGAGAGGAGGAGUUCGACAUGUAGAGUGUAUGAGCUGAUGGAUAACAUUCAAUUAGGAAGUGAAUUUCUAAGAUGAGAGAUCAACCAUUUUAGCAGUAGAAUCCAUGUGGAUGGCAGUCUUUAGAUGAAAGAGUUUCUAUGCCUGACUUGGUGAGUUAUUUUUCCUUUGCAAGGAUCUUAAGUAUGAUGAAUGGGCAAAGUUAAAGACCGUUUGUAAAACAUACUGAAAUUAGAAAAAAAUAUAUGAAACUAGAAGAUAUGAACCACCUCAAAGGAUUACCGUUUGUAAGAAAAUAUGAAGCUGACAAUGACAGAUUUUCUUGAGGAUUAGAGCUAUCCAAGAAGCUGCAUCAAAGAUGAUUCUGGUUUGCUACAGGGAUUCUCAUGCAUGAGGUAAAGAACAGAGCUAUGGAUAAGCCAAUACAUGGGAAAGCUACCGGUUGGAUUUUUGAGUCGUGAUGACAAAUGCUGCGAAUGAGGCUUGUCUGUCGUUUUAUAGAGAUAUAGCCUGAUCGAAUUGUGAAGCUUUCAUCUGUUAAAGGAAUCUAUGUUGGCACAUUUGAAAAGCUUGAGAAAUGACCAUUUGACCAGUCCAUCAGAUGACACCCUGUAGAAUGUGCAUCUUUUGAUUUAAACAGAAGGUGCAGCCACAAGAGCAACUACCCUGUCUAUGAGUGUGGUGUGUUCCCAGAUUUCGCACUUAGAGAUUGACCAUAUUCCAAGGAAACUCUAGUCUACACUUGUAUUUAGGAUUUCUUCAAUUCUGUGUAUUCAAUAAUACUGUCUUCAGUUCUGUAUAUUAUUCUCAUGAUGCUAUACAUUUUCUCUGACAUUUUGCUGAAGAAUACAUUAUUGCUAGAUGUAAAAGUGGACGAGUAUUACAAUAUACUAGCACAUUGUAAAGUAUGUGAUCUUGUAAAUUAUCUUCCAUCUUGUGUCAAAAGAAAUUGCUAGAUUGCAUUUUAAUCA